GCUCCCUGCCUUAAUAUUAUUUUCAUUUACCGUGUUGUCAUCAUUAUUAAUUUUAUUCCUUUUUAUCCUCACUACGCCAUCACAAAGUCAUUGGAGUCCAAAAGUAAAUUAGAGUUGUCAAAAAAUUAAGGAAUAACUUGUGUGAAAGGAUAUCUUGGCUGAGACGAGACUACAGGUAGAUCCAGACAUUACUUAUUUUUCUAUGGACUAGGAACCAGAAAAACCCGGAGGAGCAUAAGGACAUGGAAUGGAUCUGAACACUGAAAAGUUGGACUCUGAGUAUUGGAUAUUUACUCUUUUCUUUAAUUAUAUUUAGUAUUUACUAUUAAGAAUGAGUAAUUAAUCAUUAUUUAUAGAAAUUGAAUACCCGGAGCAUGAGGACUCAAACUUUGUCUGAACAUUGAAAAGGUGGACUCAAAUACAGCUCUCAAUAUUGGAUCUUUACUCUUUUCUUUCUUUAUAUUUACUACAUGACUGAUACGGUUUCUGACUGUAUUUAGAAGGAAUAUGUAAGAUAACUAAUGAGAAUUAUGAAUAUAGGUAGAUAUCAGUAUAAUAUUAAAAGUAUGUUUCAAUAUUUGGUUUCUUAUAGUGUUUGUACUAUAUAUAGAUUUUAUUAAUGAUAACCUCGACAAAAAUUGUAGCAGCCUCAUUCAUCAGUAGACAUUUCAGUUUAAUAUUCUUCUUGUCUUAGACGAGACUACAGGUAGAUCCGGACAUUACUUAUUUUCCAAUGUACCCGGAGCAUGAUAACUUGGACUCAGAACCAGAAAGACUAGGAGGAUGAGGACUCGGGCUUAACCUGAACACUGAAAAGUAUUUACUAUUUAGAAUGAGUAAUUAAUCAUUAUUUAUGGAAUAUGAAGAGGAUCUAUUAUGAAGAUGCAAAAUAACCUAUGAUAAUUAUGAAUAUAGGUUUUAUUGAUGAUAACCUCGACGAAAAUGUGUUGCGGCCUUAUUCAUCAGAACACAUUAACGUUGUGCGUACAUAUUCCUAUAACAGAGGUUAUCGUUAACCUUAUCGUUAUUAAUUGCAUCACUAUUUUCAUCAAUACCAUUGAGAAUAAAUGGAAGUGGUCGACAGGGUAAUCAAUCGUUUUCGAUCAUCAGAAUUAAGAAAGAAAAAUUACACUUAAGAGAUAUGAGUGUUGGUAUCUGUUCAGAUUAUGAGCGAAACAAGUGACAUGCAACAUUAUUGGAAAAUGUUGCUUAAGGUUGUUGACUAUUUUAAUAAGUCUCUCGCCACAGAAAUCAGUAGCACAAACAUUUUUAAGACUUUUUACUUAAAUACUUGUAAUAGUUCUAUUGUCAGCCUUUUUAACAUCUUCCAAAUUUAUUAAGUCAUGGAUUAUAUUUUCUUCUAAGAUGAAUCAAUAUUUUCCCAUCAAUAACAUCAACAGAAACUGCCUUGGAUCCUACUCUCCCUUCUAAGAUAUCAAAAGGAACCGCAUGGUCAUUCACAUAUCGAACAUUCACCUCUCCACAUUCUAGUCGAAUACUACUUGAAACAGCUGGGCCAAUGCUUCAUCUUUCAUUAUCAAAAUACCCUCUUCUCUUCUAAUUGCAACGUCUUAAUCGUCGUUUAACCGCUUUCCUCUUCUUUUUAUUCU
rnacentral:lncRNA from 1 species